CGCCAGACUCCUACGGGAGGCAGCAGUGAGGAAUAUUGGUCAAUGGGCGCGAGCCUGAACCAGCCAAGUAGCGUGAAGGAUGGCUGCCCUACGGGUUGUAAACUUCUUUUAUAAAGGAAUAAAGUGAGGCACGUGUGCCUUUUUGUAUGUACUUUAUGAAUAGGGAUCGGCUAACUCCGUGCCAGCAGCCGCGGUAAUACGGAGGAUGCGAGCGUUAUCCGGAUUUAUUGGGUUUAAAGGGUGCGCAGGCGGAUUUUUAAGUCAGCGGUCAAAUCGUGGGGCUCAACCCCAUCCAGCCGUUGAAACUGGGGACCUAGAGUGUGCGAGAGGUAUGCGGAAUGCGUGGUGUAGCGGUGAAAUGCAUAGAUAUCACGCAGAACCCCGAUUGCGAAGGCAGCAUACCGGUGCACAACUGACGCUCAGGCACGAAAGCGUGGGUAUCGAACAGGAUUAGAUACCCUAGUACU
rnacentral:rRNA from 1 species